UACGGGGGGGGCAAGCGUUGUUCGGAAUUACUGGGCGUAAAGGGCUCGUAGGCGGCCAACUAAGUCAUACGUGAAAUCCCUCGGCUUAACCGGGGAACUGCGUCUGAUACUGGAUGGCUUGAGUUCGGGAGAGGGAUGCGGAAUUCCAGGUGUAGCGGUGAAAUGCGUAGAUAUCUGGAGGAACACCUGUGGCGAAAGCGGCUCACUGGACCAUUACUGACGCUGAGGCACGAAAGCUAGGGGAGCAAACAGG
rnacentral:rRNA from 1 species